UAUUGUUUUGGCAAUGAUAAGAUUUUGUAAAGCUGCUUAAAUCUAAAUGUGAAAUAUGUGAGGGAGAGGGGAAUGAGAGUAAAUACAUAACCGUGUGUGAGAGACACCACCUUGUGGCCAUACAGCAGUAUUACAUUCGCACUACGCGCGUCCCCGUGCGUGUUCUUGGCGGUGGACGCUCGCGAGGGGUCGUGUUUCUAUAACUGUCACAUAGAAAAUACAGACAAAAUAUUAGAUCGUUUUAAUUCACCUUACUCGACUUGUGUAUUAAAAUACACUAAAUUGACCGUAAUAUGGAGCAGUCUGUUGUCAAUGUAAAAAGUAAGAAUCUAUUUUGUGGUAAUAAAAGCUGUCAGGAACUCUGUCAGGAAUUAGCUGUUACGCACGUUUAUAAAAUAAUCGACCCCUUAUGAAUAUUAGCGGUAAUUUUAGUAUAAUCUGUUUUAAAUAUUUCACCUUACCUUGUCAUGAAGUGAUUUAGCACUUGAAGACUGACUCUGUGUCUUUCACAGACCUGUCAGAGAAACUUCUCCAGGUGAUUAUUUGAGACUCUCUUCAAAGCGAUUUCAACUCUAGAUGCAGCAGCAAACCUACAGGAUUCACAGUUGGAGGAAAUCGCAAUAUAGCUGUGGAAUUGGGCUGUGACCAAACGUGUUGGGUCAACUAUUACAGAAGAGCAAAAAGACAAAGAUGGCGAGGAAAAUGGGAAAAACAUGGCUCGAUUGUAAACAACCCAAAGCUGCUGAUGAUUUUUUGAGCCUUGCUGUCAGUAGCCUGGAGAUUCUGCAGAAGAUACAAACACACCAAAGGGAGACAUAGAGAAAGACUUGCUGCCGGUUUUGUCUUAUCAAGCUGAAUCUGUGAGCAGAGAUUGCUGAGCAUAUCCAGUGAUUAU
rnacentral:lncRNA from 1 species